GCCAAUGGCUCCAUCUUUAUGCACACUCAAGUUACAUGCCUUACUAGGUUGUUCUCUAUGCAGCAAAAGAUUCUGUUAGUGUUGUUACUGUUAACUUGCCUUCCAGAAUUUGAAACCAAAAAUGUCCAUUUAUUCUAAUUUUGAGAAGCCUCUUGCAAUCCCUCAGUCCUGUGCUUGAAAUGUUUUCUAUAGCAUUGGCAAGCUUCUGUAGCAAAAGCUACUGUGCUGCCUUCAGAUUCCUCAUAUGUACACACAGUUAAUGGGUGUUGUCGUGAUUAAUUGCUAAUUAUUUGGUAAAGUUAAUUGGCUGGUGCUUUGAACACCUGGUAUUGAUUUUUUUAAAACUAAGAAAUAUUUCUAAAUAAGAUUGCAUUAACUUUAAAAAUGUCUUCAAUUUACUUUGGGUUUUUCUAGAACUCUAUGAAUCUACCACACAAACUAAUUACUAUAUGGAAUAAUUUACUGUACUCACAUACAGUAAAUACUAAAUGAGUGCAUUACUGUAAAAACAUAAUCAUGAUUGUUAUUUUUUAUUUAAGUACCUCUUAUGCUAUUUAAAAGCAUAAUUCCUGUAAAAAUUACAUGUUCCGAAUAGUUAAAUCACUGCUUAUCCUAUCUAUAGAUUUCUUUCUUAAUAAUUACAUAUUUCUGUAAAGCCUACUGUAAAAUGCUUUCAUUGCUUGCAGUUUUAAGUUUGAUCUGCUUACACUUAGGUAGACAUGCCUGCAAUAACUUUUCUCUCAGUUAUUUCUAACCUCAUAAUUAUUCUACUUUUCAGUAUCUUGUGUUACUCAUGGGCAAAAAAACUUCUUAGUGAAUAGAAUUCUGUCUGUUGUUUCUGAUUGUUGGUAUGAACAUUAAACUAUUGGGCUGAUCUUGCUGGUUUGAAGCAGCUUUCUGAAGUAGCUCAACAGUUGCCACCCCCUUGAGCAGUGUAAAAAAGUUCCCGGUUCAUUUUCUCUUGCUUGCUUGCUUUCUUUCCUUCUUUCUUUCUGCCAAUAUUUAAUAUUGAACAGGCUCUUUAAUUUUUGCCAAACUAACGUUAUCUCAUUUAACUUUGCAUUUUCUCAAUUACUGUUGGGGUUGAAUAUGUUUUCAUAUGCUAUGGUCCAUUUGAGUGUCCUCCGGCUGUUGAUGUUGUUUGCUCAUUUUUCUAAUGAGUAAUUUGGCUUGUUAUUUUUGGUUCUAUCAUUAGUUUUUUAAAGCUAAAAUAACUCUGGGAUAUAUUUCUUAAAAUAGUACAGAUCCUAGUACAUUGUAGAACAAAGUACACCAUAUUGAUCUAUUUUAAGAAUAUGAACAUUAGUACAGUGACACGUAUGUGGAAGAAAUAACUUUCUUUCUACCUAUAAUAUAAUAAUAAAUCUCAAAUUAUCCAAACCUGCCACUUAGGGUAGGUGAAGGCCCAACUAAUAUUACUCUCAGUUUCUAUUUCCAUAUUUUCUUUAGUGACUCUGCAUUUAUUUUUUUCUGCAAAUAUUUAUGAUGUCUUUUCUAAAUUCAUUCACUAAAUACUUAGCUUUUCCUGUUUUCUAGAGCUACAAAGAGACAAGCUUAGAAAUUUGCCUUCUAUCAGCAAGAGACCAUUGUGCGUAACUAAACCAGGUGAUGAAGUGUCUUCCUAGCAGCAUAAAAUGUAUGCCUGUAUUUUAUUAUUUUUAGUUUUGUGAAGAAUGCUGUUGAUGAGGUUGCACUGGUUCUCCUAGCUCUGUCCCAGGAUGCCUUACCUUGGUAUCUUUGAUUAUCAUAUCCUUUGGUAAAAAUCCCUUUCUAUAAUUAUAGUGUAGGAAAGAGAAUAGCAGCAGUUGAACACCUAUUAUGUAAUUUGCAGUUUGAUAGUAAAUGUCUCGUGCAUGUUAUCCUCUUACUCUUCAGUAGCAUUUCAUUUUUGGUCUUGGCGGUGGUGGUGUGUUUUGCUUUGAUUUGGUUUUAUUUAUUGUACACCUGAAUCUAACAUGAGGCUGACAUUUUCCCCUAAAGAUAGUGUUUUUCUCUUGCUUUACCAUUGGAGUGUCAAGGGGGUGGGAAGACUUCAGUACUCCAUUUACCUCCUUCUUGCCACUGCACCCCUCCAAACACAUGCUAUCUAGGUAAAAGUUGUGUUGGCUGUACCGAGGCAUCUGUGAGAGUCCUCGUCUCCAGCCCCACCUCCACUACCACUAUUUUGUCUCUCCUAUCUGGAAACUCUGAAGCGCUUGAUAUUUCUAUUCCUGGUCUUUCACAAACAUGUACAAGAGGUCAUAUAAAUGUUAAUUCAACAACUCUAGGAAACAACCUUUAAAAAUAUAUUGUCUGUUGCCACUAAUGUACUUAGCGCAGUUAACUAUUUUAGGGGGAAAUUUUUUGUAAUUCCUUCAUCUAAUCACUUUAAUAUUCAUGAUGAAAUAAAGGAAGGUUGGUAGUAAACUCUCAUUCUCAUUACCAUUUGGCAGGUUAAGGACAUAGAGCAACAAGAGCAAUAUGUGUGAUGUUUCCUUAACCCUUCAAAGAACUACCCUAGACAGCUCUAAUCCAGUGAUGUAUGGGAAAGGAAACUGAAAAUGUGAUUAUCUACCUAAAAGUGAGGGCCAUCCACUAGUGCGUUUUCAGCAGUUAAUCAGCUUGUCGUAAAAAUGUACAUGGCAUGUCUGCCUAGGGAUGGGGGUGGGGGACAAACAUGACAAGUUUGCCAGACUUUAUAUUGUCUGAAUUGUUAUUAUAGUUAUCUUCCCUGAGGCUUCACAAUGUAUUUAAUAAGAAAUCAAUAUAAUCUGUUUUUGCAUAGAUUUUUCUAUGCUGCUGUUGUGUUACUCCACAAUUAAAUAGGAGAAAAACACUCUAAAACUGAAGCAGGAAAAAGUGUGUAGACUACAGAUUUUCACAGCUAAAAAAACUCCCAUUAAAUACCUACACAUUUUAACCACUGUCAAAUGUUUGGUUUGCAUUAAUAGACUGCUUAUAAUCCAAGGAGGAAUGUCUUGAGUGUGUGUGUGUGUGUGUGUGUGUGUGUGUGUGUGUGUGUGUGUGUAUUGUGUAUUUCUUCUAGACUUUUUUUUUUUUUUGGAGAAAAAUAAUAGCCAGUUAUUUUAGGAUCCUAUGAUGUGUAGUCUUUGCUUCAGUCCAAGUCAAUUAAAGAUUGAUCUACUUCCCAGAUUUAGUUACAUUAUCAAUAAUGGGGCUAUUUCAGCCACAGAGAAAAUUCAAGUAAAAUUAUCAACCAUAAUACAAGAACUAAUGCUUACAAAGUACAAAAUGCAAAAGUGUAUCUGUUUUCUGAACAACAUUAGCAAAUGUCUUUCAGUAAAGACAUUUGUAAAUGACAACUGAAAUAGUAUUAUAUCAUAAAUGAACAUGAAACAAAGGGAGAAAUUAUAUUACUGAAUGAAGUAGUUUAAUCAGAAUAAGUCUAGAAGUUAACUUGGUAGAACUUCGCAACCACUAACAAAAUAGUGACAAACCAAUGAUCACCAAUGGCCACUAAAAUCAUCAGCUGGAAAGGUAGUGAGAAGUUUUACAAUGAAUGGAUCAGGCUGACAGGACAUGAACCCACUUAUCUAUCUUAUGUUAAUAUCACAGAAAGGGAGACAGCCAGAAAUCACAGUCACCUGAUACGAUGCAAUGAGAAGUAUGUAACGUCACCCAUGACAUGUUCUUGCCCUAAAAUUAUUUAAGCAUCUAGAUAUUAAUAUCAGUUUAUGGGGAAUACAGGAGACAGAGGAACAUGUCAGUUGAUACUGUACUGAUACAUUCAUUAGAACCAGGCUAAAAUUCUACAGAGCAAAUGAAAUUAUUUCAAAUAGGAAAAAGAAGAGAGGGGGAGGUAAAACUAUAUAUCAGAAGAUUUUUAGAGACAUAGCAACCAAAUGUAACAUAUGGACCUUGUUUUGGUCCUGAUUUAAACCACCCAACUGUUUUUAAAUUGAAACAGGGAAUAUGAAUACUGACUAGAUACUUGUUGAUACUAAAAAUUUUAAUGUUAAUUUUUGGUGUAAUAAUAUUGUGGUUAUGUUAUUUUUUAAAGUAUCUAUAUUUAGAGAUACAUUUCAAGUAUUUAUUACUGAAGUAAUAAGAUGUCUUGAGUUUGCUUCAAAAUAAUCCAGUAAUGUAGAGAAUAUAAUGUAGAAUAAAGAUGUCAAUGAAAUAAGUUUGGCCACAUGUUCAUUUUCUUGUUGAAGCUGGGUAAUAAAUACAAAGAGUGUUUGUUAUACUGUUUUUUAUUGUAUAUAUUUUAAAUGUUGCAUAACAGUUUUUAAAAUGUUAGGUGAUUCAGAUCUUAAUUUUCUGACUGAAAUUGCAUUUUAAAAAUUAACCAUAAUUUCAAUGUUUAUAAGAUUAGUAUGGUUAUAUUUCUUACAAUCUGAGUAAUAAAUAUUCUUUUUGAAAAUUUAAAUAAAUGUCAUUUAUUAGCUCUAACUUUUACCAUUUAGAGAUUAUAAAUUUACAUAAUAUGUUCCACAUACCAUGUAAUACCUUUCCUAUCAAUGAUGUUCACUCAUGGCAAUGAAUGGGACAGGGAGAAAAAAGAGGGAAAGAAAGAUUAAGUUAGUCAGCCUCUCCUCUGUUAUGUUGUAAAUUGUCAUUUCUUUUUGGAUUCAUGUUUCUUAAAAGAAACCUGGACAUUAAAGCUAGAAAUUUAAGGCAGUCUUGACCAACCACUUACCUUUUCUGUUUGCCUUGAAGGGUACCUGUUCAACUCCUGAUCAGUGUUUAUGGAUCACACACUGUUUAUCAAGAAUGCUGUUUUAAGAGACUUUACCCUGUCUCUCCAUUAUCAUUAUCAUCAUUCCUUCUUAUUCAUCCUCUUAGGCUUUUUUCUGCUUCAUUCCCCUACAGCAGUAGUUAGGAACAUGUGGGUGAUAGAGAAGAGUAGGAAACCAGAGUGGUGGGUAAGGGGAUAUGGGAUGAAUUAGGGAUCCAUGAGAGUUUUCAGAGGGAUUUAAAACAUUCUAGAACCACUUUUCUAGGAUCCAGAUGUCUUACUACAUAGAAACAUAGUAUAUGCUAUGUAGAAUAUUGACUGUUUCCUUAUGGGUCCACUCUUUUUCCAGGAUAGUUAUUAAUAAUCCUGGGUCUGUGGACUGUCCCACAUGUGAAUUCAUUCCUCCUUCUGCACUAAAACAGCUAUUCAUGUUUCUUGUCCAUGAAUCAAGAGCUGAAAAUGCUGUUACAGAGAGAAACCUUUCUUUUUCAAAAAGCAAGGCAGAAAUUUAACAAGUGUAUUAUGCUCUCUCUUUUCACACUUACAAUUAAAUUUAUUAAUGAAAUUUUUACUGUUUAUAAAAAUUAAAAAUCUUUACUCUGGAUAAUUAGUAGACAGAAAGUGAAUAUCAUUCUUUAGACACACACCAGAUUUAAUAGUACCUUUACAUGAGUAGCAAAGAAUUCUCUGUGUAAAUGAUUGGGGGAAUAAAUGUUUAAUUACAAAUUUAGGCUUAAAAUUCCUUUUAAGUAAAUUUUUACAUAGUCUUUUCAAAGCACUUAAAAUAUGAAAUAAUGUACGAAAUUAAAUUGUAUGCAUCAAAUAAAACUAUUUGUAAUUAUAAAUUUCAAGGAUUUGGUAUCCCAGCGUGUCUCUUACUGUAGACUGCUACAGCUUAGUCCCAUGUUAAUGCUGUGCCCAGUCUCACAUAGAACAAAUAGAAAAACAGGGCCCUUUUCUUGUUCCUUACCAGCAUCUGCUUUAUUUACAAGUAUAACAUAUAGAUGCUUUUAUGCAGUUCUAGCAGAAAAUAGUAUGUUUAUAUGCCCUUUCUUAUUUUAAAUUUUUUUAAAUUUCCUUUCUAUUUCUUCACCUUUGGAAGGUUUUAGAAGAAUAGAAAUGAGGAAGGCAACAGCAUUUUGUAGACCAUGGACACAAAUAGUUCCCAGUAGCCCCUCUGUUUCAAGGCCAAAUCUUUGCCCAAAUAGGAUCCUAGGUUUGUGGCAGGAUAUUUAGGAAGAGAGUCUGUUGUUGUGUUUAGCCAUUUUACUCUUUUCAUCUCAGUUGCUUUCAUUCUUUCAAAUGUCACUUGAAAUAUUAGAAAACCUUCCUUUUCUGAUUUCUACUUUGACUAGUUGGAACACCUGUUGUGGGAUGGGCAUAAACAGAAGUCAUGUUUCCUGUAUAAUUUAUAGGGAUACCAGAGGGAACUGUUUGUCUCAUUUUUGUCUAGUACUACGUCCUUUUUGAUCUUCCCUUUCCCAUAUGGUCUUCUGACUCUUUUAUUCAUAGAUUCAAGGCACUAACAUAAAAUGCUUUUGUCAAAGAAUAUUUAACAUCUUCUGAAAUUUGUUCACCUCUAGUCCCUAUGAAGGUUACUUGAACUGUAUUUCCUGUUCCUUUCAUGUUUUUGCUGUGCAUCAAAUAAGCAACUUUCGCCUUCAGGAGGCUGAUCAUGAUAUUGUUUAUUUAAAUCUUAACUUUCCCUGGAAUGCGUUUUAGACAGCUGUUAUAGGGAUCCAAAAAUAUACAGUAGAGUAGCACAAAGGAAAAGUAGAAUGAAGAACUGAGAAAACAAGUAUGAAAACAAAAUAGGGCCAUGAAUAAGACCAAACAUGUUCACCACAGUAGCUGGGCAUACAUUUUACUCAAACUUGCUAGCAGCCAAUGUAAACCAAGAGUGGACUUUUUUUCCACAUUUUGCUGUCCCUGUUGCUCAUGAUUUUGUAAAGACUAAAAUUGUAAAAGCACAUUCUGAGCAUGGCCAAGUUUUUCAGGUAAAGUGUCACUGAGGGAAAUAUGAGUCUGACUCUAGGCCCUUGACCUUUUCUGCCUUCCAUGAGGUAUCAGGUCUGCCUUCCUAUAGCCAUCUUGUUUGCUCAUUCUGUUGGUCACACCAGUGGUUGGGUUUGGAGUGGAGAUGGAUUGACGCAGAGCCUCACUGGUGGAAGGCAACUCAAGCCUCAUGUCCUGUUGCUGAUGGGUCAGGAACAGCUAUAGCCUACAUGAAGGGUGUCAUUUUUAAUUCAAGUGCUCUUGCUUUUCUGUAACCUCGAUAUCACCCUCAGAUCAUAUAAAUAAUUAUGAAAAGAAGCCCUUUGCCCUGUCUCAUUUGUUAUGCCUUGCUUAGUUCAAACUAUAGGCAUGUACCAUUUUCAGGGGCAAGGUCAUAACACAUAAAAAUAACUAAACUACAGUUAGGCACCUGUUGUCACAUUUUCACUUUUCCUGGCUGCUGAGAUCUUGGGAAUAGCCUUAGGAAGAGAGGGGACUAACGGCCAUUCUGAUGAAAAGCCAGGAAGAAUUAAUUAGUGGCCCUUUCUUGGGAAGAAAGAAAUCAGUCUCCAUCCAACAGAGAAUUGCCCAGGAUCUGACAGCAUGGUAAAGAGACACUUGGUCAGUGAAAAACCAGGAAUUUGGAGGAAGAGGUUUUGUUUUGUUUUUGUUUUCAUUGAGAUUGAUUGUGAAUGGACACUAAGUAAAUUUGGAAGGGGUUUCAAAAAAUAUAGUUAAAUACUAAGGAGGAUUGCUUUCAGAAUAUUUUUGCUAAGAAAUCAUUACUGCCUGGAUUUGUGAUUUUUCAAACUAGGGUCCUGAGAGCCCCUCCGAGGUGGUAGUGAAUGUGGUGGUGGAGAUAUUUGUUUGCCUUCCAACUCCCUCGUCCUUCAGCUGGGCAAAGCAGUUCACUUUCACUGUCUUCACGUGUUGACCUUCCUGUCUUCACCUUACUGAACUAGCUUAGUGCAAUGAUGAAGAGCUAUCCAAACUUGUUUUGGGAAGAAUAAUCAUGACAUAUUGUUUAAUUUGUGUAACUGCUCUAUUUGUUCUGACGUUAAGACAGAGAGCAUAAGUCUCUAGUGUAAAGAAUUUAUUUCCCGGGCAAUCCUUACCUGACUAAGAGCAACAGAUAAAGGCCCUGUUUCCCAAACAGGAAAAACGGAACUGGUUGUAACCUAACAGUUACCUAUUAGUAAGUGGUAUGAAUUUUCAGAACAUCAGAAGACAGGUUAUAGCAUUAGAGAACCCUCUAUUCCAUCUUAGUCUUCUAGAUCCUACUUCUCACCAUGCUUAUUGUAAAUAUAAAAUGAGCUCACGGACAUUCUUCUUGAGGGUCAGGGUAAGGAGAAAUCUGACCUGCCCACAGGUGAAUGCCUGGUCUUAAUAAGACCAGGGACUUCCAUAGGAAUUAUAUUCAAAAAGCGGUAUUCUCAGCAUAAAUUCACGAGCACUCAAGAAAGCUAAAGCAAAGAAUGCAUUUAACCUAGCUAAGAAUUCACAAGAAACUAAUGGAAUAUUUUACAAAUGCAUUAAGAGAUAGACGGAGUAAAGUUUUAAAUGUACUAAUUAAAACAGAAGCCAAAGCAAUGUUAGAUAGAAAUAAAAAUCUUAAAGUAUGUUGUAUCUCCUGAUCAUAAUUGAAGAUUUCAUUUAAUUAUAAUUAAUGACGAUAUAGAAAUUUAAGUGUUUGACAGAAUGUGUUAAACUUAGUUAAGGUAGUUUGUUUUAAAUUUAUCCUGUAACAUUCUUAAGUAGAGACAAACUUAAGAAUCAUUAGUAGUUAUUUUGUCAUAUUUCCUUGGGGAGGGGAAAAAAAAAUCCCAGAUGCAUAAUGGGAAAUACAGAGUGACAGGGAACUAUGGAGCCCAGUUCACAUAACUAAGAGGAUUCUGGAAUAAUUCUUUAAAAAGCAAUUUGUAAUGCCUAGAGGAUAACAAGGUGUUAAGUAAUUGCAAUGUGAACUCAUUGCCAAAAAAUAAAAUCACAAAAUGAGUUUACCUUUUUUUUUUUUUUAACUUAGAAAUAGACCUUGGAAUUGACUAAAAAGUAGACUUAGCUAGAACUUCUCACAAUAGAUUUGGAAUCCAGAAAGCCUAUACAUUUGCUAAUGGAGUAAUUUUGAUUAGUGGAAAAAUAAAGCCCACCAAUGGCACAAUAAAAGGUGAAACAUAUGUUAUAAAAUGAGCAAAUCACAAAUUGAAAGUAAGAUAAUAAAGAAUUGGUGGAAAAA